rnacentral:SRP_RNA from 1 species
ACCAGGCAAAGUGGCGUGUGCCUGUAAUCCUGCUGUUUGGGAGGCUAAGGCUGAGGGAUUGCUUGAGUCCAGGAGUUCUAGUCUGCCCUGAGCCAUGUCGAUCGGGUGUCCGCACUAAGUUCAGUAUUAAUAUGGUGUUCCUGGGGGAGCUUGGGUUCACCAGGUUGUAUAAAGAGGGGUGAACCGAUCCAGGUUGGAAACGGAAGAGGUCAAAUAAUGGUUAGUGCAGAACAGCCUGGGCAAUAAAGUAAGAUGCAGCCUUUU